UACGUAGGGCGCAAGCGUUGUCCGGAAUUAUUGGGCGUAAAGAGCUCGUAGGCGGCCUGUUACGUCUGCUGUGAAAUCCCGGGGCUUAACCCCGGGCGUGCAGUGGAUACGGGCAGGCUGGAGGCAGGCAGGGGAGAACGGAAUUCCCGGUGUAGCGGUGAAAUGCGCAGAUAUCAGGAGGAACACCGGUGGCGAAGGCGGGUCUCUGGACCGAUACUGACGCUGAGGAGCGAAAGCGUGGGGAGCGAACAGG
rnacentral:rRNA from 1 species